rnacentral:sRNA from 2 species
CUCAGCACGAACCUGAAACUACAGAGCAUCAAGGACAGGGGUUGCAUUAGUUAGAAAGCGAUACGAGAAACUCUGAAAGGACAAAAAAACUAUUUGGCUUUGUUUCAAUAUAUUAAGCUAAGAAACGUAAAAUAAGUGCCAGCGUCCUGAGAAGCUGAUCUGAUGACAAAAUGAUAAAUGUAAUAAUAAAAAAAGUGGGUGUGGGCGAGAGAGAGAUCGAGAGCAGAUACAGGAUGCUUUAAAAUGGAUAUGCUGAAAAGGAUAGAUUUUUUUAAAAAAAAAGACGAAAAGAAGAGAGGAUAAAAAUAGAAAACAGUGAAGAGAAGAGAACGCGCGAAUAGGUGGACGAGGCCAGGGAAUAAAUAAAUAACAAAAAAAGUCAAUAGCUUAUAGGGUAAUCUUUUGUAACGAAAAAGAGAAAAGUAAGAAAAGGGAAAAAUAGGGAACGAGACAUUUGGAGGGCAGAAGCAUUGGAAUAAAAAUAGAGCAAAAAAGACAAAGAGCCAGCGAAGGAAUAGGUACAACGAUUUAGCACAGACCGCUUCCUCGAAAGGAAGAGAUACUACUUAAUUCAGAUAGGGGAAUAGUGUGGGAUAGGGGGAGGUCAAAAUGGGUAACCAGAGCUUUCCUGACGAACGAAAAUGGUGUUAGAUUUCUAAAUAGCGCUGGAAGGGAGGUAGGUAUAUGUGAGGUGAAAUGUUAUGUUGGGCAAGCAAAGUAGUUGGUCAUAAGAGGUAAAAGGAAAAUCCGGGUUGAAGCGAAAUAGGGGAUGAGGAGGAAUAAAGGUUAAAAAGGUAAAUGUUGGCGGCCGGGCCACAGGAUGAUAUCAUGUCAUACCACUCCCUCCGUCCAUCAUCCCAAUACUAGACGGUAUUUUUUUCUUGAUUUUGUUUUUCAUACUUUCUCGAUCACCACCGCCUCACCCUCUUCCCCAUUCUUCCUUUUCUCUAGGCUUCAACGAUAACGGUAACGCUAAAAAGAUAAAGCGAGAAGAGAUGAAAAUACAAACGGAAACAAUCAACAGACACAACAUGACACACAACACAGGAAGAAAGGGUUACUGCAUUUCCGUCCAGGAAAGCGAAACAGCAGCGACAGCAGAAGAGGGGGAAGGACGAGGAAGAGGAACAAGUAAGAAAUGAAAUAAGAAGUCAUUCAAAAAAAAAUAAAGGAACGAAAAAAAAGGUUUGGAAAGCAAAAGCAAAACCCCAAGAUAACCCAGUUAGCCACAGGCUGACGAGAAAUCCCCAAAAGUAUUUUUCGAUAUUUCGACUCUGCGCAGUGUUAUUUAUUAAUAUUUGUGAGCCAAGUCAAAU